rnacentral:misc_RNA from 1 species
UUAAGUUCAGCGGGUAAUCCUGCCUGAUCUGAGGUCUAAUCUAAAGUUGACUAAUAGAAUUAGAAGCUUCUACUUUACAAAACUCGGCCACUCCCGAAAGAGCGUCCUCAGCGAAUAGUCUAUUACACUGAGUCAAUCCGAUUUUCGAAUAUGAGAUGCUAAUCAUUUACGAACGAGCUUCGCCAAUAAAGGCCAGCAAG